rnacentral:rRNA from 1 species
AACGAACGCUGGCGGCAUGCCUAACACAUGCAAGUCGAACGAGACCUUCGGGUCUAGUGGCGCACGGGUGCGUAACGCGUGGGAACCUGCCCUUAGGUUCGGAAUAACUCCCCGAAAGGGGUGCUAAUACCGGAUAAUGUCUUCGGACCAAAGAUUUAUCGCCUUUGGAUGGGCCCGCGUUGGAUUAGCUAGUUGGUAGGGUAAAAGCCUACCAAGGCGACGAUCCAUAGCUGGUCUGAGAGGAUGAUCAGCCACACUGGGACUGAGACACGGCCCAGACUCCUACGCGAGGCAGCAGUGGGGAAUAUUGGAAAAUGGGGGAAAGCAUGAUGGAGCAAGGCCGGGUGAGUGAUGAAGGCCUUAGGGUUGUAAAGCUCUUUUACCCGGGAUGAUAAUGACAGUACCGGGAGAAUAAGCUCCGGCUAACUCCGUG